rnacentral:tRNA from 1 species
GCCCCGUUGGUCCAGCGGUUCAGGACGCCCGACUUUCAAUCGGGAGAUCGCCGGUUCGAAUCCGGUACGGGGUAC